UCCCUGAUGGUCCAGUGGUUCAGACUCUGCGCCUGUACUGCAGGGGGCCCGGGUUCGAUCCCUGGUCAGGGAA